GAGAGUUUGAUCCUGGCUCAGGAUGAACGCUGACAGAAUGCUUAACACAUGCAAGUCUACUUGAAUUUGGGUUUUUUAACUUCGAUUUGGGUGGCGGACGGGUGAGUAACGCGUAAAGAACUUGCCUCACAGCUAGGGACAACAUUUGGAAACGAAUGCUAAUACCUGAUAUUAUGAUUAUAGGACAUCCUAGAAUUAUGAAAGCUAUAUGCGCUGUGAGAGAGCUUUGCGUCCCAUUAGCUAGUUGGAGAGGUAACGGCUCACCAAGGCGAUGAUGGGUAGCCGGCCUGAGAGGGUGAACGGCCACAAGGGGACUGAGACACGGCCCUUACUCCUACGGGAGGCAGCAGUGGGGAAUAUUGGACAAUGGGCCGAGAGUCUGAUCCAGCAAUUCUGUGUGCACGAUGACGUUUUUCGGAAUGUAAAGUGCUUUCAGUUGGGAAGAAAAAAAUGACGGUACCAACAGAAGAAGUGACGGCUAAAUACGUGCCAGCAGCCGCGGUAAUACGUAUGUCACGAGCGUUAUCCGGAUUUAUUGGGCGUAAAGCGCGUCUAGGUGGUUAUGUAAGUCUGAUGUGAAAAUGCAGGGCUCAACUCUGUAUUGCGUUGGAAACUGUGUAACUAGAGUACUGGAGAGGUAAGCGGAACUACAAGUGUAGAGGUGAAAUUCGUAGAUAUUUGUAGGAAUGCCGAUGGGGAAGCCAGCUUACUGGACAGAUACUGACGCUGAAGCGCGAAAGCGUGGGUAGCAAACAGGAUUAGAUACCCUGGGUAGUCCACGCCGUAAACGAUGAUUACUAGGUGUUGGGGGUCGAACCUCAGCGCCCAAGCAAACGCGAUAAGUAAUCCGCCUGGGGAGUACGUACGCAAGUAUGAAACUCAAAGGAAUUGACGGGGACCCGCACAAGCGGUGGAGCAUGUGGUUUAAUCGACGCAACGCGAGGAACCUUACAGCGUUUGACAUCUAGAUGAGACGAGAUGUUUCAGUGUCCCUCGGGAAACUAAAGACAGUGGUGCAUGCUGUCGUCAGCUCGGUCGGGAAUGUUUGGAUAGUUCCCGCACGAGCGCCACCUUCGUAGGUUACACUCACUUAGUGGGAAUCAUGCCAAACUCGCCUCCAUUAGAUAGGAGCUGGAGUAACUCAGGACUCAUGGUCCCUUAAUACAGUCGUGGGCGG
rnacentral:rRNA from 1 species